AUGAGCCGACCUAGUGUCCCAUCUGAAUUCCCGGGGUCGACUGGAGCCAGUUACUUGGUGUGGCCCACAGCUCAAGAUCAAGACUUGCUGGCGUCACAAGGGUCGGAUGGGGCCCCUACAGGUCUGGAAGGCAGAGAGCAUGAAGGUGCCCAGGAGAGCUUGUUGCCAGAGGAAGAAGCAGGAAGUACGGGAAAGGAUACUUUGAGCUCUAGCGAUUCACCCUCCUUCUGAAGAGAGUCCCAGACUUCCCAAAAGGCACAGCCCUGUGGAGCGGGCCAAAAAGAUACCCGGAAUCAAGCAGACAGCACAGGCCCUCUGGAAAUUCUCCCUGAUCAACUGCAGGGCAAAGUCCAAAAGGAAGAGCAUGUGCCAGCCCCACUGGAUUGGGGUAGAAAUCCUGGCAGCAGGGAGCAUGAAGGUUCCCAGGACAGCUUACUGCGCCUGGAUGAAGCAGCAAAUUCGGGCAUGGAUACCUUGAUCACUAGCAUUUGACCAACCUUGUGCAGAGUUGCAGCCUCCCCAGGUGGCACAGCCAUCUGGACCAGGCCAAGCACAGGCCCCCACUCAGAGUGGGUUCAUAGACUCUCUGGAGCUCUUCCUUGAUCAACUGCUGACCGAAGUCCAACUUGAGGAGCAGGGGCCUGCCCCUGUGAAUGUGGAGGAAACAUGGGAGCAAAUGGACACAACACCUGAUCUGCCUCUCACUCCAGAAGAAUAUCAGACUCUUCUAGAUAUGCUCUGACUCCCUGACAGUACCCCUUGCUUCUAGAAACCCGAGAGGCCAAAGUCCUGAAGAGACCCGAUUUGGAACUGGAGAAGGGACCCAUCCCAGCAAGGAUGUGCAUCAAAAACCCAACUCCAGUGACUUCCCGAAAUGCAAGGUGUCUCGCUAACUAUAAGGAUUGAUUGCAGGUGGGGAUAAUAAUGAAGUGCCUUCUCCAGGGCCCGGGGAUUAGGAAAUCAGCCCUGAAAGUGAGAGACUCUGCUACAGGGACAGAUGGAGAGGCCAAUAGUGACUCCUCAACAACAAGGACCCUAAAGGUAACCCCAAAAGAAGGGCCACACCAAGUGACUGGCUCCAGUGGACCCCAGGAAAUCACACGGGACACUAGGACUAGGCUUCACUACAGAGGACACACACUCCCUGAGGGCAAUGGGGAGAGUGGACUCCUUCCCUGGGUUAUAUGGACUGCUGUUAUCCUUACAGAUGCUUCGUGCAGAGCUGUGCAAGGUUUUACAGGCCAGUCUUGUAAUAUCUACUACCCAUAGGUCUUUUGUUUGUUUUCUUUUUCUUUUUCACUUUCUUUUUCAUUUUU